UACGUAGGGUGCGAGCGUUGUCCGGAUUUAUUGGGCGUAAAGAGCUCGUAGGCGGUUUGUCGCGUCGGCCGUGAAAUCUCCACGCUUAACGUGGAGCGUGCGGUCGAUACGGGCAGACUUGAGUUCGGUAGGGGAGACUGGAAUUCCUGGUGUAGCGGUGAAAUGCGUAGAUAUCUGGAGGAACACCGGUGGCGAAGGCGGCAUCCUGGACCGAGAUUGACGCUGAGGCGCGAAAGCCAGGGGAGCAAACGGG
rnacentral:rRNA from 1 species